rnacentral:rRNA from 1 species
GACGAACGCUGGCGGCGGGCUUAACACAUGCAAGUCGAACGGAAAGGCACUGCGUUUGUGCUGUGCUCGAUUGGCGAACGGGUGAGUAACACGUGAGUAACGUGCUCCUGUCUUUGGGGUAACUUCACGAAACUGGGGCUAAUACCGUAUAGGAGCUCCUCCUCCAUUGAGGGCGUUGGAAAGUCUCAGCGGUUGUGGAUGGAUUCGCGGCUUAUCAGCUAGUUGGUGGGCUAGUGGCGUACCAAGGCUUUUACGGGUAGCCCGCCUGAGAGAGUGAACGGAGACAUGGCGACUGCGAUACGGACCAGACGGCAACGGUAGACAGCAGCGGGAAAUAUUGCACAAUGGGCGGAAGACUGAUGCAGAGCCGUAGCGUGCGUAAUGACGGCGUUAUGGUUGUGAACCGCUGUUGGCUGAGACGCAGCGUGAGUGACGGUACUGAGUAAAGAAGCACCGGCUAACUUCGUG